rnacentral:rRNA from 1 species
GAGAGUUGGGUAGUCCGCACGAGCGCACCUCACUUUUAGUUGCCAUCAUUAAGUUGGGCACUCUGAAAGAACUGCCAGUGAUAAGCUGGAGGAAGGUGGGGAUGACGUCAAGUCCUCAUGGCCCUUACGUGUUGGGCUACACACGUGCUACAAUGGCAUCUACAACAGGAAGCAAAACGGCAACGUUAAGCAAAUCCCGAAAAGAUGCCUCAGUUCGGAUUGCACUCUGCAACUCGAGUGCAUGAAGCUGGAAUUACUAGUAAUCGUGGAUCAGCGUGCCACGGUGAAUGCGUUCCCGGGUCUUGUACACACCGCCCGUCACACCAUGGGAGUUGGUUCUACCUUAAGGCAAGGUUUUAAACCCUUGACCACGGUAUAGUCAGCGACUGGGGUGAAGUCGUAACAAGGUAGCCGUAGGGGAACCUGCGGCUGGAUUACCUCCUUUCU